CAGUAGCCGCGGUAAUACGUAGGUGGCAAGCGUUGUCCGGAAUUAUUGGGCGUAAAGGGCUCGCAGGCGGUUUCUUAAGUCUGAUGUGAAAGCCCCCGGCUCAACCGGGGAGGGUCACUGGAAACUGGGAAACUUGAGUGCAGAAGAGGAGAGUGGAAUUCCACGUGUAGCGGUGAAAUGCGUAGAGAUGUGGAGGAACACCAGUGGCGAAGGCGACUCUCUGGUCUGUAACUGACGCUGAGGAGCGAAAGCGUGGGGAGCGAACAGGAUUAGAUACCCCUGUAGUCCCUGUCUCUUAUAC
rnacentral:rRNA from 1 species